rnacentral:rRNA from 1 species
AGUGAACGCUGGCGGUAGGCCUAACACAUGCAAGUCGAACGGCAGCACAGUAAGAGCUUGCUCUUACGGGUGGCGAGUGGCGGACGGGUGAGGGAUACAUCGGAAUCUACUUUUUCGUGGGGGAUAACGUAGGGAAACUUACGCUAAUACCGCAUACGACCUACGGGUGAAAGCAGGGGAUCUUCGGACCUUGCGCGAUUGAAUGAGCCGAUGUCGGAUUAGCUAGUUGGCGGGGUAAAGGCCCACCAAGGCGACGAUCCGUAGCUGGUCUGAGAGGAUGAUCAGCCACACGGGAACUGAGACACGGUCCAGACUCCUACGGGAGGCAGCAGUGGGGAAUAUUGGACAAUGGGCGCAAGCCUGAUCCAGCCAUACCGCGUGGGUGAUGAAGGCCUUCGGGUUGUAAAGCCCUUUUGUUGGGAAAGAAAAGCAGCAGGUUAAUACCCCGCUGUUCUGACGGUACCCAAAGAAUAAGCACCGGCUAACUUCGUG